rnacentral:rRNA from 1 species
UACGUAGGCAGCAAGCGUUUUUCGGAAUUACUGGGCGUAAAGCGUGCGUAGGCGGUUGGCCAAGUUUGGUGUGAAAUCUCCCGGCUCAACUGGGAGGGUGCGCCGAAAACUGGCCGGCUAGAGUGCGGGAGAGGGAAGUGGAAUUCCUGGUGUAGCGGUGAAAUGCGUAGAUAUCAGGAGGAACACCUGUGGUGUAGACGGCUUCCUGGACCGUGACUGACGCUGAGGCACGAAAGCGUGGGGAGCAAACAGG